rnacentral:rRNA from 1 species
AUUGAACGCUGGCGGCAGGCUUAACACAUGCAAGUCGAGCGGGGUGAUGGUGCUUGCACUAUCACUUAGCGGCGGACGGGUGAGUAAUGCUUAGGAAUCUGCCUAUUAGUGGGGGACAACAUCUCGAAAGGGAUGCUAAUACCGCAUACGCCCUACGGGAGAAAGCAGGGGAUCACUUGUGACCUUGCGCUAAUAGAUGAGCCUAAGUCGGAUUAGCUAGUUGGUGGGGUAAAGGCCUACCAAGGCGACGAUCUGUAGCGGGUCUGAGAGGAUGAUCAGCCACACUGGGACUGAGACACGGCCCAGACUCCUACGGGAGGCAGCAGUGGGGAAUAUUGGACAAUGGGGGGAACCCUAAUCCAGCCAUGCCGCGUGUGUGAAGAAGGCCUUAUGGUUGUAAAGCACUUUAAGCGAGGAGGAGGCUCUUUUGGUUAAUACCCAAGAUGAGUGGACGUUACUCGCAGAAUAAGCACCGGCUAACUCUGUGCCAGCAGCCGCGGUAA